rnacentral:rRNA from 1 species
UACAGAGGCCUCGAGCGUUAGGCGGAAUUACUGGGCUUAAAGCGCGUGUAGGCGGAUCGUUAAGUGUCUUGUGAAAUCCCACGGCUCAACCGUGGAACUGCUGGGCAUACUGGCGAUCUUGGGCCACUCAGGGGCGACCGGAACAAGCGGUGGAGCGGUGAAAUGCGUAGAUAUCGCUUGGAACGCCAAAGGUGAAGGCAGGUCGCUGGGGGUGUGCCGACGCUGAGACGCGAAAGCCAGGGGAGCAAACGGG